UACGUAGGGUGCGAGCGUUAAUCGGAAUUACUGGGCGUAAAGCGUGCGCAGGCGGUUUUGUAAGUCAGAUGUGAAAUCCCCCGGGCUCAACCUGGGAACUGCGUUUGAAACUACAAGGCUAGAGUGUAGCAGAGGGGGGGUAGAAUUCCACGUGUAGCAGUGAAAUGCGUAGAGAUGUGGAGGAAUACCAAUGGCGAAGGCAGCCCCCCUGGGUUAACACUGACGCUCAUGCACGAAAGCGUGGGGAGCAAACAGG
rnacentral:rRNA from 1 species